CUACAUAUCAAUAAGCGGAGGAAAAGAAACCAACAGGGAUUGCCCUAGUAACGGCGAGUGAAGCGGCAACAGCUCAAAUUUGAAAUCUGGCUUCGGCCCGAGUUGUAAUUUGCAGAGGAUGUUUAUGGUGCGGUGCCUACCGAGUUCCCUGGAACGGGACGCCACAGAGGGUGAGAGCCCCGUCUGGUAGGACACUAAACCUGUGUUAAACUCCUUCAACGAGUCGAGUAGUUUGGGAAUGCUGCUCUAAAUGGGAGGUAAAUCUCUUCUAAAGCUAAAUACUGGCCAGAGACCGAUAGCGCACAAGUAGAGUGAUCGAAAGAUGAAAAGCACCUUGAAAAGGGGGUUAAACAGUACGUGAAAUUGUUGAAAGGGAAGCGUUUAUGACCAGACUUGUGUCGUGUGGCUCAUCCGAGGUUCUCCCCGGUGCACUCCACGCGGCUCAGGCCAACAUCGGUUGUCGUUGGGGGAUAAGAACAGUAGGAACGUGGCUCCCCUCGGGGAGUGUUAUAGCCUAUUGUACGAUACCCUGAUGGCGACCGAGGACCGCGCUUCGGCUAGGAUGUUGGCGUAAUGGUCAUUAGCGACCCGUCUUGAAACACGGACCAAGGAGUCGUCCAUUAGAGCGAGCGUUUGGGUGUAAAACCCGCACGCGUAAUGAAAGUGAAAUUAGGUGAGAGCUUCGGCGCAUCAUCGACCGAUCCUGAAGUUUACGGAUGGAUUUGAGUAAGAGUUUUAACGGACGGACCCGAAAGACAGUGAACUAUGCUUGAAUAGGGUGAAGCCAGAGGAAACUCUGGUGGAGGCUCGCAGCGGUUCUGACGUGCAAAUCGAUCGUCAAAUUUGAGCAUGGGGGCGAAAGACUAAUCGAACUGUCUAGUAGCUGGUUACCGCCGAAGU
rnacentral:rRNA from 1 species